rnacentral:lncRNA from 7 species
CCGGUGGCUGAUGCGGACCGGAGAAUCUCCGCCCGCAGGCAGGCCCACAGACAUUUGGGGCCCCGCCACGCCGUCCGCCAGCCGCCAGCCGCCAGCCGCCAGCCAAUCCCUUCCUGUUUCUAUUUAUUCAUCCGCCCGGGCCCCUCCGCACGCCUGCACACAUUCCGCGCACACCCCGGCAGCCGCAAACGCCUUCGCCGUCGCGUCCCGCUCCUCCGCCCGCCCGACGCGACCCCUAGGACCUGGAGAGAGAGGUCGGCAUGGCUGCCGCAG